AAGUCGUAACAAGGUUUCCGUAGGUGAACCUGCGGAAGGAUCAUUACUGAAGCAGUUAGGGUUGUAGCCGACUCUGUUAAAGGAGUACUGUGCUCGCUCUAUUCUUCUACUUUUCCCCCUGUGCACCUUUUGUAGGCUAUGAUACCUAUCGUGUGUGAGCUUUGUCUCGUUACCGGUUUCAAGGGAUUGCUGUUAUGGCUCCCCUUGCCCUUCAUAUGCCUAUGUCUUUAUACACUCUUUAAACAAGUCUAGAAUGUCUUUUGUGGGUCUAUUGACCUAUAAACUUAAUACAACUUUCAACAACGGAUCUCUUGGCUCUCGCAUCGAUGAAGAACGCAGCGAAAUGCGAUAAGUAAUGUGAAUUGCAGAAUUCAGUGAAUCAUCGAAUCUUUGAACGCACCUUGCGCCCUUUGGUAUCCCGAAGGGCAUGCCUGUUUGAGUGUCAUUAAAUUCUCAAACCUUGAUCAGUUUUGCGCUGACUUCAAGGCUUUGGAUGUGGGAGUCUUUUGCUGGAACUCUUUUGGAUCAGCUCUCCUCAAAUGCAUUAGCGGUUACUUGAUCCCCUUUCCUUGGUGUGAUAAUUAUCUACGCCUUUGAAAUGAUCAGCAUUGUAUCAGCUUCUAACUGUCCAUUGACUUGGACAACUUAAUUGACCAUUUGACCUCAAAUCAGGUAGGACUACCCGCUGAACUUAAGCAUAUCAAUAAGCGGAGGAAAAGAAACUAACAAGGAUUCCCCUAGUAACUGCGAGUGAAGCGGGAAAAGCUCAAAUUUAAAAUCUGGCGGUCCUUGCGGUCGUCCGAGUUGUAAUUUAGAGAAGUGUUAUCCGCGCUGGACCGUAUACAAGUCUCCUGGAAUGGAGCGUCAUAGAGGGUGAGAAUCCCGUCUUUGAUACGGACUACCAGGGCUUUGUGAUGCGCUCUCGAAGAGUCGAGUUGUUUGGGAAUGCAGCUCAAAAUGGGUGGUAAAUUCCAUCUAAAGCUAAAUAUUGGCGAGAGACCGAUAGCGAACAAGUACCGUGAGGGAAAGAUGAAAAGAACUUUGGAAAGAGAGUUAAACAGUACGUGAAAUUGUUGAAAGGGAAACGCUUGAAGUCAGUCGCGUUGGCUGGGGAUCAACCUUGCUUUUUUGCAUGGCGUACUUCCUAGUUGAUGGGUCAGCAUCAGUUUUGAUUGUUGGAUAAAGGUCAGGGGAAUGUGGCAUCUUCGGAUGUGUUAUAGCCCUUGGUCGUAUACAGCAGUUGGGACUGAGGAACUCAGCACGCCGCAAGGCCGGGUACUUGUACCACGUACGUGCUUAGGAUGCUGGCAUAAUGGCUUUAAUCGACC
rnacentral:rRNA from 1 species